UAUUUUUUGUGUAAUUAUAACUUUUCCUUUAAACAAUGAAAAAAUAUUUUAUAAAUUGUAAUAUUGUCUAAAAAUAAAUUCAAAUAGUUCUCUAUAAAAUAAUGACGUUUCAAUAUAAAAAAAAUAUAUAUACCAAUAAAUAAAUAAAUAAUAAAAAAAAAAAAAACAUUGUAAAAUAAAAUAUUUAUAAGUAUAUAUAUAUAUAUAUAAACAAGUGAAUAAUUAAAUAAACAAAUAUAUAUAUAUAUAUAUAUAUAGAUAGAUAGAUAGAUAGAUAGAUAGAUAGAAAGAGAGAUAGAGAAAAAGAGAGAGUAAAAGGUAGAAGUGCAAAAAGGUGUUAAACAAAUGGAAGUUUUAAACGGUAAUAUUAAUAAAAUAACUUACAACACAUGUAAGGACAGUCUUAGUAAUUAUGCAAACCCCUACGGACCUGCAUUUAGAAAAAAUCGAGUGUCUUUUUAUGAUGAUCUUUAUACAGAAGCAGUGUUUUUAUUAGACAAAAAAUGUGAACCAGCAAAUAAGAAGAAACUCGAUUUGUUAAGGAAUGAUAAAGAGAGACACUACAAAAAAAGAAAUGAACAGGAACUUAAAAAAAUUAAUAGUAUUAUAAAUGAUCCUAAUUAUUUAAACAAUUGCAAAACCAAUUUCCAUAAUGCUUGGUCCGAUGAAAAUGAAGAACCAUUCAAGUUAUGCACUAAGUAUAGCACACAUGAGAAUGAAAAUAUGUAUAAAGACAAAUUUAAAAUUUUAAAAAAAAAAUAUGAUAAUCUUAAAAAGAAUAUUGAAACAAAAAUAGAUUUGGAAUUAAUUAAGGUAGUAUAUUUUUUUUUUUUUCUUCUUUUUUAUCUUUGGUGUAAUUAUGUUUUAUACAUAUAUAUAUAUAUAUAUAUAUAUAUAUAUAUACAUAUCGUUUAUCUCCUGUUGCU
rnacentral:lncRNA from 1 species